ACGGAGGGUGCAAACGUUGCUCGGAAUCAUUGGGCGUAAAGCGAACGUAGGCGGCUAUGUAAGUCGGGUGUGAAAGCCCUCGGCUCAACCCAGGAAGUGCAUUCGAAACUGCAUGGCUUGAGUAUCGGAGAGGAUAGCGGAAUUCCCGGUGUAGAGGUGAAAUUCGUAGAUAUCGGGAGGAACACCAGUGGCGAAGGCGGCUAUCUGGACGAAUACUGACGCUGAAGUUCGAAAGCGUGGGGAGCAAACAGGA
rnacentral:rRNA from 1 species